CGCGCAGGCGCGGAGCUGCGGGUAGCGGAGACGUGGCAGCCGCUGGUCCGGCAUCCGGCUCGGGUUCCUGGAGCCGCCCGCCGAGGGCGAGCCGUGCCACGGAGGCGGAGUGGGAGAAAGGGACUGUUUACAGAACAGUUUGCAUCCCGCGAGGAAGAGAGGGAGAGAAAAGACAGCCGGAGGGAGGAAGGGAGAGCCUGGGGCAGACGCCUCUGUGUGCCGCAGGAACGGUGGCCGGAACUGGGGGAAUGGCACAGAGGUGCGCCAGCCUGCAGGCCGCCCUCGGGCUGCCUUUCCGAAAUGGACCCCAGAUAGACACCAUACCCUAAAGACCAGCUGGGAGACGACUAGCGUGAUACUGCCCAAGAGUCCAGGAGUGGCUUUGCAUCCCUUGUUUUGCGGGCAGUAAACCUGUUGAUACCACAAAGAAAAUGGCAACAGUAGUAGCGAAGUGUUUCAACUACGGCCCAGCCGUUUCAGCCUGCUACUGGCUCCGUCUCUUAUCCAGCUCCAUUCUACUGCUGUCUUGGUAGGUGCUCGGCACCGCUGAAAGGAAACUUUAAAGGCCAAUGUUCUCCAGCCCAGCCUUGAACAAGCUCACUAAACCACCGCGACAAAGAACGCUUUGUAACCAUGUGCCAGCCGAGACACUGCCCCUCCUCUGUGUAGCCGCCCUGCCUUCUCUGGGCCUGUAAAAAUAAAGCCUAGAGGAGAAAAUAAACGAUGUGUGAAGGAAAGAA